CGUCGGCGUCGACGACGGUGGCGCCCGCGCGGCUGAGGCCGGUGCCGACCUCGGCGAUCACGCCGCCGUCGACGA
rnacentral:tRNA from 1 species